rnacentral:rRNA from 1 species
AGCAGCAGCCGCGGGAAAACAGAGGGUGCGAGCGUUAAUCGGAUUUACUGGGCGUAAAGCGUGCGUAGGCGGCUUCUUAAGUCGGAUGUGAAAUCCCUGAGCUUAACUUAGGAAUUGCAUUCGAUACUGGGAAGCUAGAGUAUGGGAGAGGAUGGUAGAAUUCCAGGUGUAGCGGUGAAAUGCGUAGAGAUCUGGAGGAAUACCGAUGGCGAAGGCAGCCAUCUGGCCUAAUACUGACGCUGAGGUACGAAAGCAUGGGGAGCAAACAGGAUUAGAUACCCGAGUAGUCCCUGUCUCUUAUAC